rnacentral:lncRNA from 1 species
CGUGCACAAGCAGAGUCGGUUGAGGAGAGAGCAGUUUAGGGGGGCCUCAAUCAAAUGGCCUCGGAGGGCUUGAAAAAGUCUCCUAAGGCUCCCAAAUCUACAAAUAUGGGCUCCUCAAUACCUUUUAUGCGACUUCGGGGUACAUUAUCAUCAGAGAUCCUUGCCAAGAAGGGCUAUGAUGGCAUCAAGAUGGACGUCUAGUUCCACGACAUGAUCCUUUCUCAAUGCUGGGUAUCUUGUGUUCAGUGAUGGCGAGUGAGUGGAGCAAUGCUGGGGAUUAGGUG